rnacentral:ribozyme from 1 species
AAACAAAAAAAAAUAAUUGAAUUUUAAUUUUAAACUUUUAUUUUUUUAUUGUAUAGCAAGGAGACAGCAACAAACAACAAGAUGUGACCGACACGUCAUUGUUCAACCAUAAUUCCGAUUCAAAACGCCUGUUAUCGGUAUGUUUCAGUGCUAAUUUAUCGACCACA